CACAGGAGGUCGGGUUAGGGCCCACAGGAGGUCGGGUUAGGGUCCACAGGAGGUCGGGUUAGGGCCCACAGGAGGUCGGGUUAGGGCCCACAGGAGGUCGGGUUAGGGUCCACAGGAGGUCGGGUUAGGGUCCACAGGAGGUCGGGUUAGGGUCCACAGGAGGUCGGGUUAGGGCCCACAGGAGGUCGGGUUAGGGCCCACAGGAGGUCGGGUUAGGGUCAGGGAUGCAGGGGUUUCCUCUCUGAUGUUUGACUAACUCCAGUAUUACAUUGACAUGUCAUGGGUAAUGUCCACCAACCCAUCCUUCUGUUUCCACCC
ensembl:lncRNA